AAUAUUGGACAAUGGGGGGAACCCUGAUCCAGCCAUGCCGCGUGUGUGAAGAAGGUCUUCGGUUUAUAAAGCACUUUUAGUUGGGAGGAAGAUUUGUAGGCUAAUACCUAGCAAUUUUGACGUUACCAAAAGAAGAAGCACCGGCUAACUUCAUGCAAGCAGCCGCGGUAUUAUAGAGGCUGCAAGCGUUAAUCGGAAUUACUGGGCGUAAAGCGCGCGUAGGUGGUUCAGUAAGAUGGAAGUGAAAUCCCCGGGCUUAACCUGGGAACUGCUUUCAUAACUGCUGAGCUAGAGUACGGUAGAGGGUAGUGGAAUUUCCUGUGUAGCGGUGAAAUGCGUAGAUAUAGGAAGGAACACCAGUGGCGAAGGCGACUACCUGGACUGAUACUGACACUGAGGUGCGAAAGCGUGGGGAGCAAACAGG
rnacentral:rRNA from 1 species